UUAAAUUGAAGAGUUUGAUCAUGGCUCAGAUUGAACGCUGGCGGCAGGCCUAACACAUGCAAGUCGAACGGUAACAGGAAACAGCUUGCUGUUUCGCUGACGAGUGGCGGACGGGUGAGUAAUGUCUGGGAAACUGCCCGAUGGAGGGGGAUAACUACUGGAAACGGUAGCUAAUACCGCAUAACGUCGCAAGACCAAAGAGGGGGACCUUCGGGCCUCUUGCCAUCGGAUGUGCCCAGAUGGGAUUAGCUAGUAGGUGGGGUAACGGCUCACCUAGGCGACGAUCCCUAGCUGGUCUGAGAGGAUGACCAGCCACACUGGAACUGAGACACGGUCCAGACUCCUACGGGAGGCAGCAGUGGGGAAUAUUGCACAAUGGGCGCAAGCCUGAUGCAGCCAUGCCGCGUGUAUGAAGAAGGCCUUCGGGUUGUAAAGUACUUUCAGCGGGGAGGAAGGGAGUAAAGUUAAUACCUUUGCUCAUUGACGUUACCCGCAGAAGAAGCACCGGCUAACUCCGUGCCAGCAGCCGCGGUAAUACGGAGGGUGCAAGCGUUAAUCGGAAUUACUGGGCGUAAAGCGCACGCAGGCGGUUUGUUAAGUCAGAUGUGAAAUCCCCGGGCUCAACCUGGGAACUGCAUCUGAUACUGGCAAGCUUGAGUCUCGUAGAGGGGGGUAGAAUUCCAGGUGUAGCGGUGAAAUGCGUAGAGAUCUGGAGGAAUACCGGUGGCGAAGGCGGCCCCCUGGACGAAGACUGACGCUCAGGUGCGAAAGCGUGGGGAGCAAACAGGAUUAGAUACCCUGGUAGUCCACGCCGUAAACGAUGUCGACUUGGAGGUUGUGCCCUUGAGGCGUGGCUUCCGGAGCUAACGCGUUAAGUCGACCGCCUGGGGAGUACGGCCGCAAGGUUAAAACUCAAAUGAAUUGACGGGGGCCCGCACAAGCGGUGGAGCAUGUGGUUUAAUUCGAUGCAACGCGAAGAACCUUACCUGGUCUUGACAUCCACGGAAGUUUUCAGAGAUGAGAAUGUGCCUUCGGGAACCGUGAGACAGGUGCUGCAUGGCUGUCGUCAGCUCGUGUUGUGAAAUGUUGGGUUAAGUCCCGCAACGAGCGCAACCCUUAUCCUUUGUUGCCAGCGGUCCGGCCGGGAACUCAAAGGAGACUGCCAGUGAUAAACUGGAGGAAGGCGGGGAUGACGUCAAGUCAUCAUGGCCCUUACGACCAGGGCUACACACGUGCUACAAUGGCGCAUACAAAGAGAAGCGACCUCGCGAGAGCAAGCGGACCUCAUAAAGUGCGUCGUAGUCCGGAUUGGAGUCUGCAACUCGACUCCAUGAAGUCGGAAUCGCUAGUAAUCGUGGAUCAGAAUGCCACGGUGAAUACGUUCCCGGGCCUUGUACACACCGCCCGUCACACCAUGGGAGUGGGUUGCAAAAGAAGUAGGUAGCUUAACCUUCGGGAGGGCGCUUACCACUUUGUGAUUCAUGACUGGGGUGAAGUCGUAACAAGGUAACCGUAGGGGAACCUGCGGUUGGAUCACCUCCUUACCUUAAAGAAGC
rnacentral:rRNA from 1 species